rnacentral:tRNA from 1 species
GCGAGUGUGGCGGAACUGGUAGACGCGCUAGAUUUAGGAUCUAGUGUUUAACGCGUGGGGGUUCGAGUCCCUUCACUCGCA